AUGUCCACACCCAGACUGGGAGAGGUGGCACCAGAUGCCGGGAGGAAUGGGGCAGCGGGGCUGGGGGCUGUGCCAGGUGCCCCGUGGCUUUCCACCUGCCCCCGCCCUGGGCCGGGCCUUCGCUUCGCCCGUGUUCCCCAGCCCUUCCUCCCAUCCCUGAGCUCGGCAGUGCAGCCUGGGGCUCAGACUCACCAUGAGGCAGGCCAUCCAGCUGUGGGCUCCAGCGGGGUGUGGGCUCAGGAAACCAGGACAGGGCUCCUCCAGCCCGAGCCUGGCCAGUCCUGGAGGCUCUGGAGCAGAAGGGGCCCGUGGGGCAGGCCGGGGGUGGGGACCCUGAGAAAGGUCCCUGAAACCACCAGGAAGGUUGCUGAAGCAUCACAGUCAGAGCCUGUGCCGACCCCUGACCCUGACCUUGGAAGCGGGCAUCCUACCGCCCCCGCCCCCUCCUGGCCCGCCCAGCGUCUUCCCCUGUGUGGGGAAGACACCCUCGAUCCUCGGGGCCAGGCUGGGGGAGGGGGGUGGGCAGAGUGGCACCUCCAGCCCCACGGCGUCCUCGGAGAGUUUCUGCGCUCGAGCACCGCAUGUGCCCAGGGAAGACAGCAAUGUCCACCAGGACGGGAAGUCACCGUGCUCCGGGGAGAGCAGGGCCGGGACAGGCUCGGGGGGUCCAGGCUCAGCACUCGGGCUGCACACGGCCAGGCUGGGCAGGAGGGGGCCUCAGGGGGCAUGUCCACCACGCGGGACGGACAGACAGGGGCACGCCCCAUGGGGUCCCUCCGUCCACAGGGCCCGGCCCAGAUGAGGGCGACGGUGGCAUGGAUGGCUGGGCACCAUGUCCACACCCAGACUGGGAGAGGUGGCACCAGAUGCCGGGAGGAAUGGGGCAGCGGGGCUGGGGGCUGUGCCAGGUGCCCCGUGGCUUUCCACCUGCCCCCGCCCUGGGCCGGGCCCGCUCGCCCCCCGCCCCGUGUUCCCCCAGCCCUUCCUCCCAUCCCUGAGCUCGGCAGUGCAGCCUGGGGGCUCAGUCACUCCCCCAACCAUCUCCUGCCAUCCUUCUCCAAGGCAUUGAGCUGA
rnacentral:lncRNA from 1 species